GGCCUCCUCUCUCUCCCUCAUCCUUCGUGCGGUCGCCUUGAAUGCCUCCUUCCGCCGAAGCACAUGAGUUCCUCCUGUCAGUGAAACCCUAGGAGCCACUGUUAUUGAUUUUCAUGUCACUAUGAGGAAGGGGUCAUUAAAUGCUGCUUGCUCGGUUUUGAAGCUAUUGUUGCCCUCUCUUCCAUGCAUAUGCCGUGGUAGCACCUUGGCUAUUGCCCUGCAG